rnacentral:rRNA from 1 species
UAGCCUUUUAAUUGGAGGCCUGCAUGAAUGGCUUGACGAGCGCCCUGCUGUCUCUCUUCCCAUGAACUUUUAAAUUAACUUUCGCGUGCAAAGGCGCGAAUGGCUGAGUUAGACGAAAAGACCCUAUGCAUCUUUACUGAGAGAGAAGAAAGUUCUUUAGCUUGGUUUAGCUGGGGCAGCUGAGGAAAAGGCAAAAUUUCCUUAAUAUAAAUCAUACUGGUGGGUUUAGAUCCAGGCUCUUUAGCGGGCUUGACAAGUAGAAAAGUUACGCUAGGGAUAACAGCGUUAUCCUUCUGUGGAGGUCUUAUCUGCAGGAGGGAUUGCGACCUCGAUGUUGAAUUAGGGAUAUACCAGAAAGGCGCAGAAGCUUUUAUUGUGGGUCUG